ACUUACAGAAGACUGCAUCAGAGUUCCCUUAUUGGUUUGAAAUUCCAUUAAAUAUAUUGCAAGAGCUCCUAGGUUAAGCUUGAUUUAAAUUUGCAUACAUUUUCAUAUAUUUAGCAGAAAUAAAAGAAGGCUUGCAGCUACCAGAAAGUCAUUAAGGCAUUAGUUUCUCUGAGAAGACAGAUCUGGAGAAAAUUCAAGAAAAUGAAUAUAUAUAGAUAGAUAGAUAGAUAGAUAUAAACAGAGGUUAGCUUCUUCUGAUUCCUUUAUAGGUGGAGUGGAAGACAAUGCCUGCAUUUAUGGUUAACUAUAAGUGAUACACUAGGAAGAUGAUGGUAUUCAGACAAACACAAACAAUUUGAUUCAGACAGAUUGGAUACAAGUUUUCAACCAGCAUAAGGAGAACAGGGACACAGCACCAAAUCCUGCCCUCUCUGCCAAGAGUACAAGAUGAAUUUUCCUGAGGUGGUACCAUAGGGGAGAUUUCAGGACAAUUUCUAGAAGACUACACAGAACAACUUGGAUCCCAGUGAGAAUGAAUAGACCUGACUUACAAGAUUCUGAUACCUGCUGGUCAUACACUCAUUUUACUGGCGGAAAACAGUGGAGUGAACAACAAACAAACUAAAACAUGAAGGGAAAAAAAGGAGAGAAAAAGGAUGUAUGCAACCCAGCAUAGAAGAUAAAUGUAUCUUCUUGUUGCUAUUGGAGCACUCAGAGGCUGCAGUCUAAAUAGAUAUGACAUGACACAGUGCUUGCCCCAAAGAGUUAAUUGUGUCCACAUUCACACAGCUGAUAAAAAGCCAAACUCAGGUUGGCAUGAGCGGGCACAAGUCCCAUUGACUUCAGCAAGAUUUGCACUUUCUUACGAUCCAGGAUAUCGUAAUUCCACGUCCAUCUCUACUUCUGAGUAAACUUUCACUUUCAUCAAAAAGAAAUGAUGCAAGCCAAAGCUAACUUAACUGUGGGGAGGAGGUUUCUUCAAAGCUCUUCAAGAUGAUGUGUUUGAGUGGAAGUAGGAUGCCAGACUUUGAAAAAAUUCUUUCAGGGUGAGAGGAGAGGUUGUGGCUAGAAGAAAGAAAAUUAAAAGCACACAUAUGAUCUCUGUCAUGACCUCCUAUGACAAUUACAGUCCACUGGAACUAUAGAACAUCUGCCUCAAGUGUGAAACUCAUGUGAGCAGGAGACAUAGGAAACAGAGCCAUGAAUUUAGAGUUCAUUUACAGACGAGAUCAGGUUGACCACAAACUUGAGUGACUGCAGAGCAAAAUCCAAACUCCACUUUUCCCAGGUGAGAAAAAGGUUAAUUUGCUGGAGAAAAUCAUGUCUGUGCGAGAGAAGGUCAGUUUGCUCCAUCAUCAUGUACUGCCGUCUGAAGCUGACCUGAACCCACACAACUUGGUUGAAUGGAAAAAUUAGACAUUUUUUUUUCAGCAUAGUGCCUGCAGAAUUUCUGUUUUCUCCAAGGGUUUUCACACGUUCGCCAGAAAGGAAGAACUGUAUGACCCAUUUCAGUUACUCUGAUGUCUCAUUACCCAGUUCAGCAUCAGUAGCCCAAUCUCAUUCCGAAUGACGUAAAAUUUCUGAUAGCUGACUAUUGCAUUCUAAAACUACUAAUUUAAUCCUAAAUUGUUCCAGACUCAUGAUUUCUCCAAUCCUCCACUAGACCAUGGACCAAAACAACCCCUGGUAUAGCACAGAAUAGCUAAUGUGCUUUUUAAGUUGCUGUGAUUAGCACAAUCCCUCAGAACUAUUUUGCUGGCCCAUGACCAGGCAACGUGCUGGAUGCUCCAGGCUCACCACUCCUGCUCUUGCCACGACCACCCCACGAAGGAUGAAUGCUUGAAACUCACAGUGCCAUCAAUGGGAGUAGUAAUUCUGAAGAGCACCUUUCAGGACCUGCCCCCUUGUAAAUUGAUGGUAUUAGAAAUAGUAAAUAAGUGAGUGAAUAAGUACGAUGGUCUGAGAAGAAAUAAGAUACAUCAAGUGGGACCCUACCAGCAAAUGCUCUAGACAUCUGUGGGCUAGACUUUGAGGUAAAAACAUGGCAUCAAAUGUAAAUCUUAGUGACAUAAUGAGCCAAAUCCUGUUAGCCUUUCUCAGUAACUUCAAUGGGACUAUCUGUACGGGAUAAGGCCAGGAGGAUUUGCCCCAAAAAUGAUUUCAUGGCACACUGGUGGAAUCAAUUGCAUGAUAAGAGCACUUUAUCAAAAACCGAUAAAGAAUUGCUUCUCCAACAGAACAUGUUUAUAUUAAAUGUAACAGAAGGUGUAUGUCUAUUUAAUGUAUCUAUCUGCCUGUCUAUUUUGCAUCCAGCACCCACGGUAUCUGAACACAGCAAAAUGAUUAAGCAUACUGGCAAAUUGAAAGACUGUAUUCUCCACCCUUUCCUUGUAUGCUCCAUGGAGUGUUCUUGACUUUUCCACCCCACAUAUUUAUUUAUUUGCCUUUCCUCUCAUCUAUCUAUGUUCAUAUAGCAUGAUCAUCACAUGACUUCUGAGCAUCUAUUUUUAAUUUUAUUCUAUCUUCAGGAAUGAGAAUAUGGGCUGUGCUUGGAAUGUUACAGCAUUAGAAAGCUAUUAGAAAGAGAGGAGAUAAAAUAUUGUAACUACAUUUUUGUUUAGUUAAUUACAUUUUUCAACUUUGUGUUGAGGUUAAAAACUGGUGUUACCUGGGCAUAUUAUGUAUAUCCUACCCAUAUUUGUUGAAUUGACUAUUUUAAUCAUUUUUAUUAUUGCUAUGCAGUAUUAAAUUAUGGCAUCAUUGAUAUCACUGUUAUGUUUUGUUCCUCUUCUCAGUUGAGCAGUUUGGGGUAGAUUAUUUCAUAUUAUUUUGCUUUAAGAUAAACUCCACUCCUGCAAACCCUUACUGGUAUGCUUAGCCAUAGACUUCAACAGGGUGAGCAGACUUUCAUGACACAACUUGCAUGAAUAAAUUACUCACAUUGGUUCGCAGGAUUGGUCCCCAAGAAUCUGUCUUAUGAACUAAACUUCUAGGAGUUCAUCUGAAAUCUUGGUAAAAUGUGAGAUGUAACAUAACAUCCAUAUAUGACAAUGUCCAGUCCAGUUAUGUAAAUUCAUGUAUUACGUGCAACUAGUUCAAAUAAGAUGUUCAAGAGUAUAUUAAAGCAAUUAAAGCAUAAGGGAAAUUCUAAUAUUCAGAUUACAAUCUGACAGCACUUGGGCUCCAGUUCAUGUAAUCAAACCUAUUCAGGGCAGAAUUUAAGCAUAUGCUGGGACUUAAGUACCUACUUAAGUGCUUUCCUGAAUCAGGACCUGGAUGUUUUAAUGAAGAUUCUAACAGCAUUGCAGAUUAAAAGGAACUUCAUAAAUGUGCAGUUCAUAAAAUUCGAGGACUACUGUAUAUUCUCAUUGCUCUGAGCAAUGAAUACACACAAUUCCCAUUAAGAUCAAUGGAAUAAUUGUAUAUUGAUACAUCUGGGUGUAGGUUAGAAGGGAUACCUGCCAUUGUAUUUCAGCAUUAUCUUAAUUUUUGGAAGUGGUGAACUAUUUUUGCUGCAUUGUAGCCUGGGAACUGGAAAUGCUGCUCACCACCCUCAGGCAAGGAAAGGGCCUCCUAUGGCAUGCUUACUUUUAAACCUAAGCAGGAUUUAAGGACUGGCUCCAACCUUGGCCUGCCUGUAAGCCUGAGACCCUACUCUAUGCAGUAACUCCGAAUUUCCAUUGUCACACUGGGGCAAUGCUUUGCAAUACAGAGGGUUCAUCAAAAUCAUAGUUUUGAUGAGAAUAUUUUUGUUGUUUGACUUUUUUCUUAUUCUAAGUCUGAUUUACUGGAUCUGACUCCUUUAUUGCAUGAUCUGCUGAUUGAUGCCAAUAAAAUGUUUCA